rnacentral:rRNA from 1 species
UACGUAGGUGACAAGCGUUGUCCGGAUUUACUGGGCGUAAAGAGCGCGCAGGCGGUCGUUCAAGUCGAGUGUGAAAGCCCCCGGCUCAACUGGGGAGGGUCAUUCGAUACUGAUCGACUCGAAGGCAGGAGAGGGAAGUGGAAUUCCCGGUGUAGUGGUGAAAUGCGUAGAUAUCGGGAGGAACACCAGUGGCGAAGGCGGCUCACUGGCCCGAUACUGACGCUGAGGUGCGAAAGCGUGGGGAGCAAACAGG